rnacentral:rRNA from 1 species
ACGCCGCGUGAGUGAAGAAGGGUUUCGGCUCGUAAAGCUCUGUUGGUAGUGAAGAAAGAUAGAGGUAGUAACUGGCCUUUAUUUGACGGUAAUUACUUAGAAAGUCACGGCUAACUACGUGCCAGCAGCCGCGGUAAUACGUAGGUGGCAAGCGUUGUCCGGAUUUAUUGGGCGUAAAGCGAGUGCAGGCGGUUCAAUAAGUCUGAUGUGAAAGCCUUCGGCUCAACCGGAGAAUUGCAUCAGAAACUGUUGAACUUGAGUGCAGAAGAGGAGAGUGGAACUCCAUGUGUAGCGGUGGAAUGCGUAGAUAUAUGGAAGAACACCAGUGGCGAAGGCGGCUCUCUGGUCUGCAACUGACGCUGAGGCUCGAAAGCAUGGGUAGCGAACAGGAUUAGAUACCCUGGUAGUCCAUGCCGUAAACGAUGAGUGCUAAGUGUGGGGAGGUUUCCGCCUCUCAGUGCUGCAGCUAACGCAUUAAGCACUCCGCCUGGGGAGUACGACCGCAAGGUUGAAACUCAAAGGAAUUGACGGGGGCCCGCACAAGCGGUGGAGCAUGUGGUUUAAUUCGAAGC